rnacentral:rRNA from 1 species
GACGAACGCUGGCGGCGUGCCUAACACAUGCAAGUCGAACGAGACGUUCGGGUCUAGUGGCGCACGGGUGCGUGAGACGGGGUAAGCUGCACUUGGGUUCGGAGUCCCUCACCGAAAGGGGUGCUCAUACAAGAUAGUGUCAUACGACCAAGGAUUUUUCGCCUUUGGGUGGGCCCUCGUUGGAUUCGCUGGUUGGUAGUGUACAAGCCUGCCAAGGGCACGUUGCAUAGCUGGUCUGUGAGGAUGCCAUGCUACACUUGGACUGAGACACGGCCCAGACUCCGACGCGACGCAGCAGUGGGGUGUACUGUAGGAGGGGCGAAAGCCUGAUCCAGCAGUGCCGCGUGUGUGAGGAAGGCCUUAGUGUUGUAAAGCUCUCUUACCCGGGAUGAUAAUGACAGUACCGGGAGAAGAAGCUCCGGCUAACUCCGUG